AGAGUUGCUCGUAGCUCGCGGAGGUCGACAUGGUCCUGGAGGACCCAGAGCCGGUGGGACUGGGGCUGGGGCUUGGAGUGAUGGGAGGCGAGGUGACAGGAGUGUUGGUUUGAGGAGGAGACGACGGUUUGGCAGAGACCCAUCAUCACAGUUGGGGGAAGUCUAACAGAAUCACCAGUAACUGGAAGUGACAGCAAGCCAUUGGAAAGCUGUGAUCCUCCUUCCGCCUGAGAGGCAGAAAUGUCUCCACCUUGACAGAGCAGCAUGAGGACAGACCACGGCGGGUAAAAGGAGGAAAAGUUGAAACAGAAUCAAGAGGAAAGCAACCAAAAAAGGCAAAGAAGCAUGAAGAGUCAGAUAAAAAGUUAAUAAAGAAUGUCACUCAAAAACAGCGAGCGGAAUAACCCAAUUGGAACUGAGGUAAUUCUAACUGAGACAGUUGGAACUGAUGGUAGUCAUGUUUUGGCUUUACCAUUCUCUUUGACCUCCAUCAUGAUACAAUUUGUUCCCUUAAUUUGUUCUCUGUUUCUGUUUUUUCUUGAGUGAACUCAUUCUGCCUUGAGACUACUUGUAGAUCUACUUUCUUAGAAUCUAAACAUUAGGUUUUUUUUUCCAGUAAAGGCCUUUUUUUUUAAAUACUGUAAGCCUUCAUGACA